GCGCUUGUAGCUCAAUGGGUAAAACGUUUAUUUUCUAAGCAGGAUGUCAUUGGUUUGACCCUGUCUAGCGUG
rnacentral:tRNA from 1 species